CUAAUCCUCUUAUGGAGUCCAAACAGAAAUAGAAAACGACAGUUUUUAUCACUAUUUUAUCUUUUCUUUUGGGGUGCAACAAUACAUUUGGUUGUUACUUCUGCAGCUGGUGUAAUAUGUCAGCAAUGCACUGGGAGGCCAGACGCCGCCAGCAAGUGCUGGACCGCAGAUUAUCUGCAAAAGUCAAGCAGGCAGAGAUGAAAGGAAAAAAUGAAGAGCAGUCACACACACACAAUGUACCUACAGGAUCCAGUAACACUCGGGAGGUUGACAAGAAAUGCAUUUGUAAGUGUCAGCCUUCUGACGAGGAAACAUAUAUCAAGAAUAACAAAAAAUACUCGUCCCUACAGUACUCCCAGCAAUGGUGAAGAUGGGGGCCAGACCAAUGGGCAGAACCAACGCCACAUAUAAAGAUCUGUAUUUUAAUAAUAAAACAUCUGUAUUAAUCUUUGCAAUUCAAAUAAAAUUGG